ANAGUUUGAUCCUGGCUCAGGAUGAACGCUAGCGAUAGGCCUAACACAUGCAAGUCGAGGGGCAGCACAUGAAGUANCAAUACGGAUGGUGGCGACCGGCGCACGGGUGAGUAACGCGUAUGCAACCUGCCUACAACAAGGGAAUAACCCGUUGAAAGACGGACUAAUACCCUAUAAUACAGGGGUCCCGCAUGGGAAUAUUUGUUAAAGAUUUAUCGGUUGUAGAUGGGCAUGCGUUCCAUUAGCUAGUUGGUGAGGUAAGGGCUCACCAAGGCAACGAUGGAUAGGGGAACUGAGAAGUUUAUCCCCCACACUGGUACUGAGACACGGACCANACUCCUACGGGAAGCAGCAGUGAAGAAUAUUGUCAUGGCGCAGCCUGAACCANCCACUUCNCUUUAANGAANANNGNCCUACNGGUUGUUAACUUCUUUUGUUAGGGAANAAAUUUUAUACUUUUUCUAUUUUGCAUUUCCUUACAAUAAGAUCGNUAACUCCUNCCCCCCCCGUAUAGAGNCAC
rnacentral:rRNA from 1 species